rnacentral:rRNA from 1 species
UGGGGAAUAUUGCACAAUGGGGGCAACCCUGAUGCAGCCAUGCCGCGUGUGUGAAGAAGGCCUUCGGGUUGUAAAGCACUUUCAGGUGUGAGGAAAGGUGUGUAGUUAAUACCUGCAUACUGUGACGUUAACACCAGAAGAAGCACCGGCUAACUCCGUGCCAGCAGCCGCGGUAAUACGGAGGGUGCGAGCGUUAAUCGGAAUUACUGGGCGUAAAGCGCACGCAGGCGGUUUGUUAAGCUAGAUGUGAAAGCCCCGCGCUCAACGUGGGAUGGUCAUUUAGAACUGGCAGGCUAGAGUCUUGGAGAGGGGAGUGGAAUUCCAGGUGUAGCGGUGAAAUGCGUAGAUAUCUGGAGGAACAUCGAUGGCGAAGGCAGCUCUCUGGCCAAAGACUGACGCUCAUGUGCGAAAGUGUGGGUAGCGAACAGGAUUAGAUACCCCCGUAGUCC